CGUCGCAUGACCUUGUCCAAAAAAAGUCUUUUGAACUUUUUGGCUAGUGCCCGUCAUUAGCCCCUUUAAAUUCUUGAUAAAUUAUGAUGUCUGAGGUUACAAAACUUAAUAGUUUAAAAACUUUCAACAACGGAUCUCUUGGUUCUGGCAUCGAUGAAGAACGCAGCGAAAUGCGAUAAGUAAUGCGAAUUGCAGAAUUCAGUGAGUCAUCGAAUCUUUGAACGCACAUUGCGCCCUUUAGUAUUCUGAAGGGCAUGCCUGUUCGAGCGUCAUUAUCACUAUUCAAGCCCGGCUUGCUGUUGGACACUUUGUCGGUUAAAGACAUGUCCAAAGAUAAUGACGGUGUCUUUUGGACCCUAGAUGCAACGAGCUUUAACCAGCACGCAUUUUAGUUUAACCAUCAGACCCGGUUCUUGUUUUUAAACCAAUUUUUUAGGUUUGUACCUGGGUAUCGGAUAGAAUACCCGCCUGAACCUUAA
rnacentral:rRNA from 1 species